GAUGAACGCUGGCGGCGUGCCUAACACAUGCAAGUCGAGCGAUCCCUUCGGGGAGAGCGGCGGACGGGUGAGUAACGCGUGGGUAACCUGCCCUGUACACACGGAUAACAUACCGAAAGGUAUGCUAAUACGGGAUAAUAUAUGAGAGUUGCAUAGCUUUCAUAUCAAAGCUUUUGCGGUACAGGAUGGACCCGCGUCUGAUUAGCUAGUUGGUAAGGUAACGGCUUACCAAGGCGACGAUCAGUAGCCGACCUGAGAGGGUGAUCGGCCACACUGGAACUGAGACACGGUCCAGACUCCUACGGGAGGCAGCAGUGGGGAAUAUUGCACAAUGGGCGAAAGCCUGAUGCAGCAACGCCGCGUGAGCGAUGAAGGCCUUCGGGUCGUAAAGCUCUGUCCUCAAGGAAGAUAAUGACGGUACUUGAGGAGGAAGCCCCGGCUAACUACGUGCCAGCCGCCGCGGUAAUAC
rnacentral:rRNA from 1 species